UUACUGUUUAUGGGCUAACAGUUCUCUAGU
rnacentral:piRNA from 1 species